ensembl:lncRNA
UUGUUGUCUUGCUGUGGAAAUGUUUUUCUACAGCCUACAGUGAACAAGGGAAUGAAUAGUGUAGCACAUGCCCUUCUCCUUGGGCAACUAUACUAAUAAUGGGGUCUUCCUGUGACCUUCCCACAAGACGUAUUUGAACACCUGAAGUGAUAUAGAGUCAACUACAUGGAAGGAAGAAGGAAUUUAACAUAAGAGCUCUUAUUCCAGACAGGUUUGAAUUAGUCCUUCUUCUCAUGUUUCUUUAAUUCUUGUUUUGCUUUGUUUUGUUUUGUUUUCAAGAAAAUGUAAUUAUUGUCUGGGAAAUCUGACUUCAACUAGCCACCUGCCAAGUACUGACUCACAUCUGUGUACAAGAUGUUCCCAGUGCUUCUGUAUGUAUUUGUAUCUAUUUGCAGAACAUAUCAGAUCAGCUGCUUUCUGCAUGCAUGGAAAGAAAGGAGAAAGAACCUCCAGCAUAACCCAAAGGACAGGUCCUGGGGUUUCUUUCUCUCCAACUCACUCUGCACGUUUCUACUCUCCAUGUGUUUUGAAAGACUUGAUCAGUGUCGCUCAGAAGCAUUGCCAUGGACGCCCAGCACUCUGCCAAAUAAUAAAAUUCUUCUAGAAGAGAGAACAACUUCAGAAGAAUGAACUGCACCAUGAGAAAGUACAGCACAAACUCCUUUAUAAGCUAAGUGAAAAGCUUCCUGAACAUGGCCUACUUGACCUCAGUGAAGUACUCCAGAAUGUCAGUAAUCAUCUCAUUACCUGCUGGGACUGUUUGCACUUACCUUCAGUACCACUGAUCAGCAAUCCCAUUCUUAUCACAUCGGCUUCCCAGCUUUCAGCAGCAGCUUCAGUGGUGACAGGGCUGGAGCUGCUGCUGCGUGCCUUGGAGAUAAAAAAAGAACACCAUAUCUGACUCACUAAGUUAACAUCUAUCAGCUCUGCCAACACCGUGUUCAGUGUCUGGGAAGCUGAUACAAUAAAUUUCUGCCCAUAUUGGUAAUGGCAAUGAUUCACUGAAGCAGUUUGAAAGAUCACGUAACAGGAUUAGGAUUUCUCUACCUGGCAAAAGAAAUAAGGAUUUAACUACUAUAAAUUAUCCCAGAAAUCUUUCUUUUCCCUUGGCUUUCUUUUCCAUAUUUAGUUG